rnacentral:rRNA from 1 species
UACGGAGGGUGCGAGCGUUGUCCGGAAUCACUGGGCGUAAAGGGCGCGUAGGCGGCCUGAUAAGUAGGGGGUGAAAUCCUGCGGCUUAACCGCAGGGCUGCCUUCUAAACUGUCAGGCUAGAGCACAGUAGAGGCAGGUGGAAUUCCCGGUGUAGCGGUGGAAUGCGUAGAGAUCGGGAAGAACAUCAGUGGCGAAGGCGGCCUGCUGGGCUGUUGCUGAUGCUGAGGCGCGACAGCGUGGGGAGCAAACAGG